GACGAACGCUGGCGGCGUGCUUAACACAUGCAAGUCGAACGGAAAGGCCCUGCUUUUGUGGGGUGCUCGAGUGGCGAACGGGUGAGUAACACGUGAGUAACCUGCCCUUGACUUUGGGAUAACUUCAGGAAACUGGGGCUAAUACCGGAUAGGAGCUCCUGCUGCAUGGUGGGGGUUGGAAAGUUUCGGCGGUUGGGGAUGGACUCGCGGCUUAUCAGCUUGUUGGUGGGGUAGUGGCUUACCAAGGCUUUGACGGGUAGCCGGCCUGAGAGGGUGACCGGGCACAUUGGGCCUGAGAUACGGCCCAGACUCCUACGGGAGGCAGCAGGGGGGAAUAUUGCACAAUGGGCGGAAGCCUGAUGCAGCAACGCCGCGUGCGGGAUGACGGCCUUCGGGUUGUAAACCGCUUUCGCCUGUGACGAAGCGUGAGUGACGGUAAUGGGUAAAGAAGCACCGGCUAACUACGUG
rnacentral:rRNA from 1 species